rnacentral:rRNA from 1 species
UACGUAGGGUGCAAGCGUUUGUCCGGAAUUAUUGGGCGUAAAGAGCUCGUAGGCGGUCUGUCGCGUCGGCUGUGAAAUCCCGAGGCUCAACCUCGGGUCUGCAGUCGAUACGGGCAAACUUGAGUGUUGCAGGGGAGACUGGAAUUCCUGGUGUAGCGGUGAAAAUGCGCGGAUAUCAGGAGGAACACCGGUGGCGAAGGCGGGUCUCUGGGCAACAACUGACGCUGGAGGAGCGAAAGCGU